CAGCACUCAGCACUCAGGACCACUGUUCCUGCAGGGCUGGGGUCAACUGAUGACCUGAGAAACUUUGAAACGUGAAGGUUGAUAUGCAAAACAGCAGAUGACAGAUAGAGCCCAGGCAUCCCUAACCUCUCUGCUUCAGGACUGGGAGUGAGGAGGUCACUUUGCAGACCCAGGUUUGAAUUCUGGAAUCUCUGCUUCCUGGCUGUGGUGUGGCAUUGGAGCAGGGUCAAUAGCUUUUCUAUGCAGCAGACCAUGGAGCAAUGGGUGAGGCAUCAACUAGGUCCUGGGAAUACAGAGGCCUAGAAAACCAAAGGAGGGGAGACGAAUUUCAACUCCUGUUUCCAAAGUCUCAGUCCAUGCUCACUUGAUGCUGCUGUUCCGUUGCCCACGAUGAGGAGUACAUCAUGCUGGGGAACUUAUGGCGGAGCUCCUUCCCCCAAAGAGGACAGGAAGCGGGAAGGAUAAACAGAAGGCAAGGCCAGUGUCUGCUUGCUCCAGCAGGACCCUCCUUCCAUAGUUCUACCACUUUCCAAGUCUGGUGCAAGCUUGAAUUCCAGGCUGGAGAGGUGACUCAGCAGUGGAGCUCCAGCUGCUCUUCAGAGGACCUGGUGUCUGUUCCCAGCACCCAUGGCAGCUCACAGACAUCCGUAACUCCAGUCCCAAGAGGUCUAGCGCCCCCUUCUGGCCUCCACAGGCACUGCAUGUUUGUGGUGCAGAGACAUAAAUGCAUUAAGACACCCAUACACAUAAAAUUUAAAAUAGUAAUAAUAAUAAAGGCUAAAAAAAGGGAAAGAAAGCCCCACCAAAGUUUGAAUCCAUACACUGAUGAAAUAAUAGCCAUCAAGAUCCAACCAGUUCUCUGAAGCCUACCUCAUUGGGUAGAUACUUUAUAUCCAAACCAUUGCUCUCCAUGCAUUCAACCCCACAUGCCAUUCUAAGGAGUUUUUUUUUUUUUUUGAGACAGGGUUUCUCUGUGGCUUUGGAGGCUGUCCUGGAACUCGCUCGGUAGACCAGGCUGGUCUCGAACUCACAGUGAUCCGCCUGCCUCUGCCUCCCGAGUACUGGGAUUAAAGGUGUGCACCACCAACGCCCGGCUUCUAAGGAGUUUUUAAAACUGGUAUUUUGUCAAUGAAAUGUUAUUGUCAUAUUAUAAUUUAUUCUUGAA